rnacentral:lncRNA from 1 species
UUAGUUGUAGAGUUCCUUUGAUGAAGAAUGUUAAGAAUGGAGCUCUCCAAUCUUCUGCGAAAGAGAUAGUGAAAUAUUCUUCGGUGGAGGGUAUCAUAGAACACUUGGGGCAAUUCGCUUGAAUUCCAGCUGCUUGUUUCAUCAUUUCUGGCUAAUAGUAACCUUUGUGUUGCAGGCGCUGAUACAAGUUUAUUACUGGCUCCAAGUUGCAAGUGGCCUCAUGCACCUCUUGCAGCCUUCUUUGUGCUUCUGUUAUCCCUAUGCAAUAGGUCAAAAUACCUCCUGGCAUGUCUUUCUUUAUUACAGUAAUAUUGGGUUGGUCUUUGACAAAUGAGAGCUUUGACCCCAAUGUAGCCAAAGCAUCAGCAUAUCUAUUAGUGAUCCCUGAAAUGUGCUCCAGCACAAUUUGCAUGAAAGAACUAAUAAGCUUUUCGGCAGCUGUACGAUAUGGGGCCAAGGUUGCGUAUUUCACAGCAAAGCUCCCUUGCAAAUUGACUUAGCACUAAGUUUGAAUCACCAAUGAUCUUAAUCUUUUCUAUGCCUAUCUCCUUUGCUAGAGACAAUCCAAUAACAAAAGCUUCGUACUUCGCCAGAUUAUUCGUACAUGGAAAAUUUAGCUUGAACGAGAGGGUCGUGGCUUACCCCUUGGGAUUAAUGAGUACCACACCUGCUCCUCCACUAUUCGAUGUAUAAGAACCAUCAAAGUAGAGGGUCCAUUAGUGGCGGACUUGCG